AAUCUUAAUAACACAAGGUCAAUGGGUGAUCAUAAAGGCCUAUGGCCUAGGUUAGUGAUCUCCAUUGCACUUGGGAGAGGUGCUAGCUUAAGCUAUUCUCAAAUGAGGAGAGAAUACAUGACAUUUUUCGGUGGACAAAUGUGGACUAGGUUAACCUCCUCCUCU